rnacentral:rRNA from 1 species
GUCUACGGCCAUGCCACCAUGAACAUGCCCAAUCUCGUCUGAUCUCAGAAGCUAAGCAGGACGGGCUUGGUUAGUACUUGGAUGGAAGAAUAACUAGGAAUACCAGGUGCUGUAGGCA